rnacentral:tRNA from 1 species
AUUCAGGUAGCUUAAAUGGUAGAGGAAUUGACGUGUAAUCAUUAGAAUCUUGGUUCGAUUCCCACUCUGAGUG